rnacentral:rRNA from 1 species
UACGUAGGGUGCAAGCGUUGUCCGGAAUUAUUGGGCGUAAAGGGCUCGUAGGCGGUCUGUCGCGUCGGGAGUGAAAACUCAGGGCUUAACCCUGAGCCUGCUUCCGAUACGGGCAGACUAGAGGUAUGCAGGGGAGAACGGAAUUCCUGGUGUAGCGGUGAAAUGCACAGAUAUCAGGAGGAACACCGGUGGCGAAGGCGGCCUUCUGGGCCGGUACUGACGCUGAGGAGCGAAAGCUAGGGGAGCGAACAGG